UUCCAUAUGCACACUUAGAGAUAAUCAAGAGAUAAAGAAGAGAUAAUGUUAGGAUAAUUAUGCCAACUAAUUGACUUAAUCAAAUUUUUUUGAGCUCACAAUUAAGAUUUCAAUUAAAUUCAAAUAGAUUUAGAUUAGGUUCAAGGCUAUGGACUUAAUCGAAUCGAAGUUUCAAGAAGAAUUAGGUUUAACCAUGUGCUAGCAUG
rnacentral:lncRNA from 1 species